ACAUAAAAGUCCGGUGUCAACAUUCUUGUUGCUGACAGACACACACACACACACACACACACACACACACACACACACACACACACACACACACACACACACACAGUUACUGAGGAGUGGAAUUUCUCCCACUGGAGUUCAGGGAACAGGUGUCCAGUGGUUUUAGUAACUCCCUGAUUUCUGUCCUUAUGCAUCAAUAGGAUGAAUCACAAACUUAUCUGCUGACGCCAUCGCUGCAGGAAGGCCAGCCAGAAAUGAGAUCUCAUUACUGGUUGGUUCUUCUGGCUGAGCUGGGAGCCAGGCCUGGCAGAGCGAGACACACACUGCGACAGCAGCGCUGCUGACACACUUACACACAUUUUGUGUUACCAGCCCCAACCCUAAAAUGGCUUUUCAGAAAACUUUACCCAGCUUUCCAAAGAUGUUGCCCACUCCUUCACACCCAAAUCCCAGUAAGAAAGGGGAUGAAGUGGGAUUUUUAGGAAGUACACUGUACAUACAGAACACUCACACAAACAAACACAGACAUCCUGUCCAAGUUUCACAGCAAGAAGACAGAUUGGAGUCAGUGUGAGCGUGGUGAGACGAAUGUUUUCUGGCAGUCAGUGAUAAAGAUGACAUCACAGCACAGCCAUGGUGAUGAACAAUGUGUUCUGAUCCGUCUCCACUGAAAAGAGCAACGUCCCUCAUUCUUCUCCCAUAGUCCGGUUCGCAGCCCAAACAAACAUUCAGCGUGCCGUUUUCCUUCAGGCCAGUGAAGAUGAGACUCCUGUGGGACACCAAGAAGACCGGUUUAUUAUAAAUGAUAAAAGCUCAGAGGCUCAGCUGAGGCUUGAAUCCAGGCCUGGGUGUUUCUGCAUGGAGUUUGCAUGUUCUCCAUGUGCAGGUGUGGGUUUUCUCCAGGCACUCCAGUUUCCUUCUACAGUCAAAAAAUAUGACUGAUAGGUUGAAACGUCUCUUCAAAUUGUUCUCAGGUGUCAGUAUUUGUCCUGUGUGUUUAAUUUCACAACAUAAGUGCUCAAUAAAUUUAUUAAUUAC